AACAGCCCACCAAGACGAUGAUAGGUAGGGGUUCUGAGAGGAAGGUCCCCCACAUUGGAACUGAGACACGGUCCAAACUCCUACGGGAGGCAGCAGUGAGGAAUAUUGGUCAAUGGACGUAAGUCUGAACCAGCCAAGUCGCGUGAGGGAAGACUACCCUAUGGGUUGUAAACCUCUUUUAUAAGGGAAGAAUACGUUCUACGUGUAGAAUGAUGCCUGUACCUUAUGAAUAAGCAUCGGCUAACUCCGUGCCAGCAGCCGCGGUAAUACGGAGGAUGCGAGCGUUAUCCGGAUUUAUUGGGUUUAAAGGGUGCGUAGGCGGUUUAUUAAGUUAGUGGUUAAAUAUUUGAGCUAAACUCAAUUGUGCCAUUAAUACUGGUAAACUGGAGUACAGACGAGGUAGGCGGAAUAAGUUAAGUGGCGGUGAAAUGCAUAGAUAUAACUUAGAACUCCGAUAGCGAAGGCAGCUUACCAGACUGUAACUGACGCUGAUGCACGAGAGCGUGGGUAGCGAACAGGAUUAGAUACCCUGGUAGUCCACGCCGUAAACGAUGCUCACUGGUUCUGUGCGAUAUAUUGUACGGGAUUAAGCGAAAGUAUUAAGUGAGCCACCUGGGGAGUACGUCGGCAACGAUGAAACUCAAAGGAAUUGACGGGGGCCCGCACAAGCGGAGGAACAUGUGGUUUAAUUCGAUGAUACGCGAGGAACCUUACCUGGGUUUAAAUGGGAAAUGCCGUAUUUGGAAACAGAUAUUCUCUUCGGAGCGUUUUUCAGGGUGCUGCAUGGUUGUCGUCAGCUCGUGCCGUGAGGUGUCGGGUUAAGUCCCAUAACGAGCGCAACCCUUACCGUUAGUUGCUAGCAUGUAAUGAUGAGCACUCUAACGGGACUGCCACCGUAAGGUGAGAGGAAGGCGGGGAUGACGUCAAAUCAGCACGGCCCUUACACCCAGGGCUACACACGUGUUACAAUGGCCGGUACAGAGGGCCGCUACCAGGUGACUGGAUGCCAAUCUCAAAAGCCGGUCGUAGUUCGGAUUGGAGUCUGUAACCCGACUCCAUGAAGUUGGAUUCGCUAGUAAUCGCGCAUCAGCCAUGGCGCGGUGAAUACGUUCCCGGGCCUUGUACACACCGCCCGUCAAGCCAUGGAAGCCGGGGGUGCCUGAAGUCCGUAACCGCGAGGAUCGGCCUAGGGCAAAACUGGUAACUGGGGCUAAGUCGUAACAAGGUA
rnacentral:rRNA from 1 species